UGGGGUUGCAAGGAUACAUACUCAUUAGACUAGAGGGAUAUGUCACUUUUUGGUUUCUUCCGAUUGCCCUAUGUGCUAAUAUUUUUUCUUCAUCUAGGACCUGUUGAAAAAUUGUCUUGCAAGAAUGUACCUCAAGAUACGGAGAAAAAACAUGAGAGUUGAAACAAGAGUAUGAAUUUAUCACGUUGGCCUUAACUGUGAACUGUAUGAGAUUACAGAAUGAGCAACAAUAAGGAUCCCCAAAAGAAAUGCUCAUUUCUCACAGUGGCUUAUACCACCUGAUGAAAUAUGGAUUUGCAUAUUUUCCCUUCUUUUGCACAGACAGCUUGUACUGGUCACACAAGUGUGUUAUCACUUUUGGAGACUUGCUAGUGACAAAAACUUCUGUAAGCAGCAAAAACAGUAUUUGAAAUGAAUGUACCAUAAUUGAGGAGAAAACUCUGUAAGUCAUUAGACUUGUUUUCUAAACCCACAGUCACCUGGAACUGUCCCACUCCUGAUCCCCUCUUGCUAUACAAAAAUGAGUUAGAAAAUUCCUUCAGAAAAUUCCUUCAGGACAACCACCCUGUUUUCAAAGUGUGGUUCUCAAAUUUGCAGUAUCAGCCUAACCUGGGAAAAUGUUGGGAAUGCAGUUACUUCACAUCUAGACCUGAAUGGGAAACGUUGGGUUAGAGCCUGACAAUCUAAGUAUUAAUGAAUCAUUCAGGUGAUUCUGAGUGCCACUCUGUGUGGAAAGCUAAUUUUUGGAAAGUGGCUACAAAGGUCCUCCUAGAAGGACCAUUUUGUCUAAUUUCUAAUAGUUCAUUUUAAAAAUUGACAUUUUGUAUUUCUCAUAGAAUGAACAGUUUAAUUUCUCCAGCAAUUUGGUUUAGAAAUAAAAUGAAGAUGUUUUCCCACAAGUUUAAUAUUUCAAUGAUUUUUAUUAUGUAGUAUAAAUGCCUUAUCUAUUUCUUAAAAUGACUAUAAUUCAAACACAGAUAAUGAAUGCUUUAGAGUACUAUAACAAAUUGGAUAAUAACAAUGAUUUAAUAAAAGGCUAUCAAACAGUAGGAAGAAAAACCUGCUGAUUAAUUUCAAUUUUCUAAAAAAUCAUGUUGAUUUAAAAGAAACUAUGGUCAUAUCUAAAAUCUCCAAAUGCCAUAUUUAAUCCAUGCUUAGUUUAUAUACUUUCUCAUAGGAAGAAUUAGAAAUAUACAGGGAGUUUUAUCUAGAAACACUGUAGUGUUUAAAGAUUAGCAAUAUAUUGCCUAUUUUCUAGUGAAAUUG